UUACAUGGCAGUACAUAUACAAAAAUUGGGAAGAUACUGAAAAAAUUAAUGUGGCCCCCCCGUGCAAGGAUGACAUGCAAAAUUCUGAAGCAUUCCAUAUUUUU